ACUAAGCGUACACGGUGGAUGCCCUGGCAGUCAGAGGCGAUGAAGGACGUGCUAAUCUGCGAUAAGCGUCGGUAAGGUGAUAUGAACCGUUAUAACCGGCGAUUUCCGAAUGGGGAAACCCAGUGUGUUUCGACACACUAUCAUUAACUGAAUCCAUAGGUUAAUGAGGCGAACCGGGGGAACUGAAACAUCUAAGUACCCCGAGGAAAAGAAAUCAACCGAGAUUCCCCCAGUAGCGGCGAGCGAACGGGGAGGAGCCCAGAGCCUGAAUCAGUGUGUGUGUUAGUGGAAGCGUCUGGAAAGGCGCGCGAUACAGGGUGACAGCCCCGUACACAAAAAUGCACAUGCUGUGAGCUCGAUGAGUAGGGCGGGACACGUGGUAUCCUGUCUGAAUAUGGGGGGACCAUCCUCCAAGGCUAAAUACUCCUGACUGACCGAUAGUGAACCAGUACCGUGAGGGAAAGGCGAAAAGAACCCCGGCGAGGGGAGUGAAAAAGAACCUGAAACCGUGUACGUACAAGCAGUGGGAGCACAGAGCAAUCUGUGUGACUGCGUACCUUUUGUAUAAUGGGUCAGCGACUUAUAUUCUGUAGCAAGGUUAACCGAAUAGGGGAGCCGAAGGGAAACCGAGUCUUAACUGGGCGUUAAGUUGCAGGGUAUAGACCCGAAACCCGGUGAUCUAGCCAUGGGCAGGUUGAAGGUUGGGUAACACUAACUGGAGGACCGAACCGACUAAUGUUGAAAAAUUAGCGGAUGACUUGUGGCUGGGGGUGAAAGGCCAAUCAAACCGGGAGAUAGCUGGUUCUCCCCGAAAGCUAUUUAGGUAGCGCCUCGUGAAUUCAUCUCCGGGGGUAGAGCACUGUUUCGGCAAGGGGGUCAUCCCGACUUACCAACCCGAUGCAAACUGCGAAUACCGGAGAAUGUUAUCACGGGAGACACACGGCGGGUGCUAACGUCCGUCGUGAAGAGGGAAACAACCCAGACCGCCAGCUAAGGUCCCAAAGUCAUGGUUAAGUGGGAAACGAUGUGGGAAGGCCCAGACAGCCAGGAUGUUGGCUUAGAAGCAGCCAUCAUUUAAAGAAAGCGUAAUAGCUCACUGGUCGAGUCGGCCUGCGCGGAAGAUGUAACGGGGCUAAACCAUGCACCGAAGCUGCGGCAGCGACGCUGAUGCGUUGUUGGGUAGGGGAGCGUUCUGUAAGCCUGUGAAGGUGUGCUGUGAGGCAUGCUGGAGGUAUCAGAAGUGCGAAUGCUGACAUAAGUAACGAUAAAGCGGGUGAAAAGCCCGCUCGCCGGAAGACCAAGGGUUCCUGUCCAACGUUAAUCGGGGCAGGGUGAGUCGACCCCUAAGGCGAGGCCGAAAGGCGUAGUCGAUGGGAAACAGGUUAAUAUUCCUGUACUUGGUGUUACUGCGAAGGGGGGACGGAGAAGGCUAUGUUGGCCGGGCGACGGUUGUCCCGGUUUAAGCGUGUAGGCUGGUUUUCCAGGCAAAUCCGGAAAACUAAGGCUGAGGCGUGAUGACGAGGCACUACGGUGCUGAAGCAACAAAUGCCCUGCUUCCAGGAAAAGCCUCUAAGCAUCAGGUAACAUCAAAUCGUACCCCAAACCGACACAGGUGGUCAGGUAGAGAAUACCAAGGCGCUUGAGAGAACUCGGGUGAAGGAACUAGGCAAAAUGGUGCCGUAACUUCGGGAGAAGGCACGCUGAUAUGUAGGUGAAGUCCCUCGCGGAUGGAGCUGAAAUCAGUCGAAGAUACCAGCUGGCUGCAACUGUUUAUUAAAAACACAGCACUGUGCAAACACGAAAGUGGACGUAUACGGUGUGACGCCUGCCCGGUGCCGGAAGGUUAAUUGAUGGGGUCAGCGCAAGCGAAGCUCUUGAUCGAAGCCCCGGUAAACGGCGGCCGUAACUAUAACGGUCCUAAGGUAGCGAAAUUCCUUGUCGGGUAAGUUCCGACCUGCACGAAUGGCGUAAUGAUGGCCAGGCUGUCUCCACCCGAGACUCAGUGAAAUUGAACUCGCUGUGAAGAUGCAGUGUACCCGCGGCAAGACGGAAAGACCCCGUGAACCUUUACUAUAGCUUGACACUGAACAUUGAGCCUUGAUGUGUAGGAUAGGUGGGAGGCUUUGAAGUGUGGACGCCAGUCUGCAUGGAGCCGACCUUGAAAUACCACCCUUUAAUGUUUGAUGUUCUAACGUUGACCCGUAAUCCGGGUUGCGGACAGUGUCUGGUGGGUAGUUUGACUGGGGCGGUCUCCUCCUAAAGAGUAACGGAGGAGCACGAAGGUUGGCUAAUCCUGGUCGGACAUCAGGAGGUUAGUGCAAUGGCAUAAGCCAGCUUGACUGCGAGCGUGACGGCGCGAGCAGGUGCGAAAGCAGGUCAUAGUGAUCCGGUGGUUCUGAAUGGAAGGGCCAUCGCUCAACGGAUAAAAGGUACUCCGGGGAUAACAGGCUGAUACCGCCCAAGAGUUCAUAUCGACGGCGGUGUUUGGCACCUCGAUGUCGGCUCAUCACAUCCUGGGGCUGAAGUAGGUCCCAAGGGUAUGGCUGUUCGCCAUUUAAAGUGGUACGCGAGCUGGGUUUAGAACGUCGUGAGACAGUUCGGUCCCUAUCUGCCGUGGGCGCUGGAGAACUGAGGGGGGCUGCUCCUAGUACGAGAGGACCGGAGUGGACGCAUCACUGGUGUUCGGGUUGUCAUGCCAAUGGCACUGCCCGGUAGCUAAAUGCGGAAGAGAUAAGUGCUGAAAGCAUCUAAGCACGAAACUUGCCCCGAGAUGAGUUCUCCCUGACUCCUUGAGAGUCCUGAAGGAACGUUGAAGACGACGACGUUGAUAGGCCGGAUGUGUAAGCGCAGCGAUGCGUUGAGCUAACCGGUACUAAUGAACCGUGAGGCUUAACC
rnacentral:rRNA from 1 species